UUCGUUGGUAGCGCAUUUUGGCACAUACUCCAUAGAAAUAGUCUUACCUUGGGAGGGGUAUUUAGUUUCCAGAUUCGGCACCACAGUUUAGUGGAAGGUUGGAAAGAAGAUGAUGCCUGCUUUUCAAUCUGUGGAAGUUCUUUAUCACGAAUCUUAUUAUAAGCACUUUUCACUGAAAAUUCUCCCGACUUUAUGGCUGUCCAAACUAGUUUAUCUUCUGUUACUCUGCUGCAUAGAGGUAUGGCUAACACCUCAUGAACAAUCUGGUCUUCAAAUAGUCUUGUUAGCAUAUCGACAUCCCAUGUUCUGUCCUUGUGCUUGAUUAGGUCUGAGACUUUUGCCGAUUCUUCAAGGGUUGCUGGUCCUCCCAAAACUCCUCUUUUGAGCCACCUGUCUUCCCGAAUACUGAUUUUUUCCCCCGUGCCAACCGACCAUAUGACUGAAUUUGAUAUUUCUUCCCGUCCCAAUAGAAUGCUCUGCCAUCCCCAAGAGGACCGAGACCCCUUCCUAGCUUGCCAGAAAGAUCUUGUAGGGAAAUAUAUUCCUUUGAGAAUUUGGCUCCAUAAUGAUGAUUGGUUUUGGGAUAACCUCCAUGCUUGUUUACCGAGCAAAGCUCUAUUGAAAGAUAUGAGGUCUCUAAAUCCCAAACCCCCUUUAUCUUUUUUUGUUUUUAGAACUUCCCACCGCUUCCAGUGAAGACCUGACUUCGAUUCAGAAUUUUUCCACCAAAAGGCUGCAACCCUUCUUUCUAUGGACCGACAAAUUGAAACUAGAAUUUUAAAUAUUGACAUCGCAUAUUGAGGAAGAGCUUGAACCACAGUCUUAAUCAGCGUUUCUUUUCCUGCCUUUGAAACAAGCCUUUACUUCCAUCCCUCCAGUUUCAUAUUGACUUUUGCUAAUAUCCAACUGAACAUUUGUUUUUUUGAUUCACCCCAAUCCGAAGGAAUCCCGAGAUAUUUGCCGGUCUUCUUAAUCUCUGGGACUCUAAGUUGAGCAGCCAUAUUAUCUCUUAAGUUCAGUGGACAGCACGAGCUAAAGAAAAUACUAGAUUUGUUUAAGUUGAUUUCUUGACCAGAUGCAUAGCAAUACUGAUUGAGGAUCAAUGCAAGAUUCUGGCAUUCAAUCAGCUUACCAUCUAAGAAGAAGAUGGAAUCAUCAGCAAAGAGGAGACUCAAACUCAAAAGAAAACAACCCAGGUUGUAGAUGCUUGCAGAUGAUGGAGUUCGUUUUCCAAGCCUUCUUCAUAGUGGCUUGAAAGGCUUGGAAAUUGACAGAAGGACUUCCAUGAAGUUUGCCAAACACUGUACGUUCACACUCUUGUAAUUUCGCUUCCGUCACAACAUUGUCUAAUACAACAAUUUUCCUACCAGUCCAGAG